rnacentral:rRNA from 1 species
AUGGACAAAACAAGCGGUGGUGGUGUCAGAGGGGAAGGUGAGAAGAAGGCUGCUGCAGCGUGCGACGUGGAGGCGCUGCGCAAGUGCCUGCAGGAGAACAAGGGUGAUCGUGUCAAUGCCAGGCUCACAUCGAUGCCUUCCGAUCCUCGUGUUCUGUCAGCCCCACCACUACCUCUGACAGCCAUCCUGCCUUAA